CCUACAGGAGGCAGCAGUGGGGAAUAUUGCACAAUGGGGGAAACCCUGAUGCAGCGACGCCGCGUGAGUGAAGAAGUAUUUCGGUAUGUAAAGCUCUAUCAGCAGGGAAGAAAAUGACGGUACCUGAUUAAGAAGCCCCGGCUAACUACGUGCCAGCAGCCGCGGUAAUACGUAGGGGGCAAGCGUUAUCCGGAUUUACUGGGUGGAAAGGGAGCGUAGACGGCAGGACAAGUCUGGAGUGAAAUGCCGGGGCUUAACCCCGGAACGGCAUUGGAAACUGUGCGGCUUGAGUGCAGGAGAGGUAGGUGGAAUUCCUAGUGUAGCGGUGAAAUGCGUAGAUAUUAGGAGGAACACCAGUGGCGAAGGCGGCUUACUGGACUGUAACUGACGUUGAGGCUCGAAAGCGUGGGGAGCAAACAGGAUUAGAUACCCGUGUAGUC
rnacentral:rRNA from 1 species